UACAGAGGUCUCAAGCGUUGUUCGGAUUCAUUGGGCGUAAAGGGCGCGUAGGCGGCGGGGUCAGUCGGGUGUGAAAUCUUGGGGCUUAACCCCGAAACGGCACUCGAAACUGCCCGGCUGGAGGGCCGGAGAGGAGAUCGGAAUUCACGGUGUAGCAGUGAAAUGCGUAGAGAUCGUGAGGAAGACCCGUGGCGAAGGCGGAGCUCUGGACGGCUAACUGACGCUGAGGCGCGAAGGCCAGGGGAGCAAACGGG
rnacentral:rRNA from 1 species